CUACAUCUUGGCCAUUUAUGUAUGUCUAAAUCUCCAAUGUUUUAUAUAUAUAGUACUUAGUUAUGUCUCCUCUUGUUCUGCGUUAUAUCUCUUGUCUUGUUUUAUUUUGUAUUCCCAGUCCAUGUAUAGUCCUGCCGGCUCCUGUUCUGUUAAUGUUUCCCUUAUGUAUUGUGUACAUGUUCUGGGUUCUGCUUUCUAUCCUUCUCCUGUUCUGGGGUCUUCUAGUUUUGUCUUGUUUUCUUGUUUGGUGCCUAUUCUAAUCUUACCUUGUUUCUAGUACUUCAUCUGCACUGGCUUCCGCUAAGCUGCAUCAGGGUCUUGGUAAGUGGCCGCACAAACGCUGGUGCUCAACACCAGGGGGCGUGUGGUUACCUUGCACCAGGCCUUACUUAUCCACUUCCAUGCUGAAGACUCCUCUCAUCAUCUACAUCAGGCACAGGGGUCCCAGUCUUCGGACCGCCACCCUGACAGUAUGUCAGUAUGUAUGUGUAUGUAUGUCAGUAUGUAAUGUAUGUGUGUGUGUAUGUAUGUCCUUAUGCGUGUUUGUGUCUGUAUGUUUGUAU